UCCCUGACCCCUUGAGGGUCCUAAAGGGCCGUUGGAGACCACAACGUUGAUAGGUGGGGUGUGUAAGCGCGGCGACGUGUUGAGCUAACCCAUACUAAUUACCCGUGAGGCUUAACCAU
rnacentral:rRNA from 1 species